rnacentral:RNase_P_RNA from 1 species
AACCUGUAACGGUUGUAGUGAUGAAGCGGGCAUAUAAAAAAUAAAGCCCGACACUUUUUAUAAGGUGAUGGCGAGACUAAGAAUAAGGGAAACUAAUACCUUAGUUUUGUAAAGUGCCACAGAGACGAGUUGCAUGGAAACAUGCAGGUGAAACGCGGUAAACCCCUUCAGGA